rnacentral:sRNA from 1 species
UGUGAGGGUGAUCUGGCUGUGACAUUUGUCACCCCACUGAUCACCAGGCUUGAUUUGGCUGAUCUGGUUGGCUAGGCGGGUAACACCUUCCUCCCUCACCAC